rnacentral:rRNA from 1 species
CGAACGCUGGCGGCGUGCUUAACACAUGCACGUCGAACGGAAAGGCCCUGCUUUUGUGGGGUGCUCGAGUGGCGAACGGGUGAGUAACACGUGAGUAACCUGCCCUUGACUUUGGGAUAACUUCAGGAAACUGGGGCUAAUACCGGAUAGGAGCUCCUGCUGCAUGGUGGGGGUUGGAAAGUUUCGGCGGUUGGGGAUGGACUCGCGGCUUAUCAGCUUGUUGGUGGGGUAGUGGCUUACCAAGGCUUUGACGGGUAGCCGGCCUGAGAGGGUGACCGGCCACAUUGGGACUGAGAUACGGCCCAGACUCCUACGGGAGGCAGCAGUGGGGAAUAUUGCACAAUGGGCGGAAGCCUGAUGCAGCAACGCCGCGUGCGGGAUGACGGCCUUCGGGUUGUAAACCGCUUUCGCCUGUGACGAAGCGUGAGUGGCGGUAAUGGGUAAAGAAGCACCGGCUAACUACGUG